rnacentral:tRNA from 1 species
GGUGGGGUGGCCGAGAGGCUAGGCAGCGGCCUGCAAAGCCGUCCAUGCGGGUUCGAAUCCCGUCCCCACCUCCA